rnacentral:tRNA from 1 species
AAGACGCUAGUAAAAAAAUUACACUGCCUUGUCAAGGCAAAAUUGCUGGUUAGACCCCUGCGUGUCUUA